GAUUCCAGCGUCAAAAGGUCAAUCCGCACGUCGUGCUUGCACGUAAGUGGGACUUGACAUUGGGACGCGCCCCGAUAUGAGUAUGAAGUGGUGCGUAAGCACCAUGAAAAUACGAAUAUCGGGCAGGAUUGUGGGAGCACGAAGUGCGGAGCAAUCCGU
rnacentral:sRNA from 1 species